rnacentral:rRNA from 1 species
ACAUGUCUACAUCAUAGAGUUAAUGCACCUGAUCCCAUUAGAACACCGCACUUAAGCGUGCUCAGUCUAGAGUAGUACUGGGAUGGGUGACUUCCUGAGAAGUCCUAGUGUUUUACAUGCC